rnacentral:rRNA from 1 species
UACAGAGGUCCCAAGCGUUGUUCGGAUUCAUUGGGCGUAAAGGGUGCGUAGGCGGUGGGGUAAGUUGGAUGUGAAAUCUUGGGGCUUAACCUCAAAAUUGCAUUCAAUACUGCUCCGCUCGAGUUCUGUAGAGGAGAUUGGAAUUUACGGUGUAGCAGUGAAAUGCGUAGAUAUCGUAAGGAACGCCAGUGGCGAAAGCGAAUCUCUGGACAGUUACUGACACUGAGGCUCGAAGGCCAGGGGAGCAAACGGG